UAGGGAAUCUUCGGCAAUGGGGGCAACCCUGACCGAGCAACGCCGCGUGAGUGAAGAAGGUUUUCGGAUCGUAAAGCUCUGUUGUAAGAGAAGAACGUGUGUGAGAGUGGAAAGUUCACACAGUGACGGUAACUUACCAGAAAGGGACGGCUAACUACGUGCCAGCAGCCGCGGUAAUACGUAGGUCCCGAGCGUUCUCCGGAUUUAUUGGGCGUAAAGCGAGCGCAGGCGGUUUAAUAAGUCUGAAGUUAAAGGCAGUGGCUUAACCAUUGUUCGCUUUGGAAACUGUUAAACUUGAGUGCAGAAGGGGAGAGUGGAAUUCCAUGUGUAGCGGUGAAAUGCGUAGAUAUAUGGAGGAACACCGGUGGCGAAAGCGGCUCUCUGGUCUGUAACUGACGCUGAGGCUCGAAAGCGUGGGGAGCAAACAGG
rnacentral:rRNA from 1 species